rnacentral:rRNA from 1 species
ACUUAGUGGCAGACGGGUGAGUAACAUGUAGGUAUCUGCCCUUUGGCCUGGAAUAACACGAGGAAACUUGUGCUAAUACUGGAUAAGUCUUUACGGAGAAAGCUUUAUGCACCAUUGGAUGAGCCUGCACUUGAUUAGUUUGUUGGUAGGGUAAUGGCCUACCAAGACUUUGAUCAAUAGCUGAUUUGAGAGGAUGAUCAGCCACAUUGGGACUGAGACACGGCCCAAACUCCUACGGGAGGCAGCAGUGGGGAAUCUUGCACAAUGGAGGAAACUCUGAUGCAGCGAUGCCGCGUGAGUGAAGAAGGCCUUUGGGUUGUAAAGCUCUUUCGUCGGGGAAGAAAAUGACUGUACCCGAAUAAGAAGGUCCGGCUAACUUCGUGCCAGCAGCCGCGGUAAUACGAAGGGACCUAGCGUAGUUCGGAAUUACUGGGCUUAAAGAGUUCGUAGGUGGUUGAAAAAGUUGGUGGUGAAAUCCCAGAGCUUAACUCUGGAACUGCCAUCAAAACUUUUCAGCUAGAGUUUGAUAGAGGAAAGCAGAAUUUCUAGUGUAGAGGUGAAAUUCGUAGAUAUUAGAAAGAAUACCAAUUGCGAAGGCAGCUUUCUGGAUCAUUACUGACACUGAGGAACGAAAGCAUGGGUAGCGAAGAGGAUUAGAUACCCUCGUAGUCCAUGCCGUAAACGAUGUGUGUUAGACGUUGGAAAUUUAUUUUCAGUGUCGCAGCGAAAGCGAUAAACACACCGCCUGGGGAGUACGACCGCAAGGUUAAAACUCAAAUGAAUUGACGGGGACCCGCACAAGUAGUGGAGCAUGUGGUUUAAUUCGAAGAUACGCGCAGAACCUUACCAACACUUGACAUGUUCGUCGCGACUUUAAGAGAUUAA